rnacentral:rRNA from 1 species
UACAGAGGUCUCAAGCGUUGUUCGGAUUCAUUGGGCGUAAAGGGUGCGUAGGCGGCGCGGUAAGUCGGGUGUGAAAUCUCGGAGCUUAACUCCGAAACCUGCAUUCGAUACUGCCGUGCUUGAGGACUGGAGAGGAGACUGGAAUUUACGGUGUAGCGGUGAAAUGCGUAGAUAUCGUAAGGAAGACCAGUGGCGAAGGCGGUCUCGUGGACAGUUCCUGACGCUGAGGCACGAAGGUCAGGGGAGCAAACGGG